GCGAACAGAUAAGGAGCUUGCUCCUUUGACGUUAGCGGCGGACGGGUGAGUAACACGUGGGUAACCUACCUAUAAGACUGGGAUAACUUCGGGAAACCGGAGCUAAUACCGGAUAACAUUUGGAACCGCAUGGUUCUAAAGUGAAAGAUGGUUUUGCUAUCACUUAUAGAUGGACCCGCGCCGUAUUAGCUAGUUGGUAAGGUAACGGCUUACCAAGGCGACGAUACGUAGCCGACCUGAGAGGGUGAUCGGCCACACUGGAACUGAGACACGGUCCAGACUCCUACGGGAGGCAGCAGUAGGGAAUCUUCCGCAAUGGGCGAAAGCCUGACGGAGCAACGCCGCGUGAGUGAUGAAGGGUUUCGGCUCGUAAAACUCUGUUAUUAGGGAAGAACAAACGUGUAAGUAACUGUGCACGUCUUGACGGUACCUAAUCAGAAAGCCACGGCUAACUACGUGCCAGCAGCCGCGGUAAUACGUAGGUGGCAAGCGUUAUCCGGAAUUAUUGGGCGUAAAGCGCGCGUAGGCGGUUUCUUAAGUCUGAUGUGAAAGCCCACGGCUCAACCGUGGAGGGUCAUUGGAAACUGGGAAACUUGAGUGCAGAAGAGGAAAGUGGAAUUCCAUGUGUAGCGGUGAAAUGCGCAGAGAUAUGGAGGAACACCAGUGGCGAAGGCGACUUUCUGGUCUGUAACUGACGCUGAUGUGCGAAAGCGUGGGGAUCAAACAGGAUUAGAUACCCUGGUAGUCCACGCCGUAAACGAUGAGUGCUAAGUGUUAGGGGGUUUCCGCCCCUUAGUGCUGCAGCUAACGCAUUAAGCACUCCGCCUGGGGAGUACGACCGCAAGGUUGAAACUCAAAGGAAUUGACGGGGACCCGCACAAGCGGUGGAGCAUGUGGUUUAAUUCGAAGCAACGCGAAGAACCUUACCAAAUCUUGACAUCCUUUGAAAACUCUAGAGAUAGAGCCUUCCCCUUCGGGGGACAAAGUGACAGGUGGUGCAUGGUUGUCGUCAGCUCGUGUCGUGAGAUGUUGGGUUAAGUCCCGCAACGAGCGCAACCCUUAAGCUUAGUUGCCAUCAUUAAGUUGGGCACUCUAGGUUGACUGCCGGUGACAAACCGGAGGAAGGUGGGGAUGACGUCAAAUCAUCAUGCCCCUUAUGAUUUGGGCUACACACGUGCUACAAUGGACAAUACAAAGGGCAGCUAAACCGCGAGGUCAUGCAAAUCCCAUAAAGUUGUUCUCAGUUCGGAUUGUAGUCUGCAACUCGACUACAUGAAGCUGGAAUCGCUAGUAAUCGUAGAUCAGCAUGCUACGGUGAAUACGUUCCCGGGUCUUGUACACACCGCCCGUCACACCACGAGAGUUUGUAACACCCGAAGCCGGUGG
rnacentral:rRNA from 1 species